UACAGAGGGGGCAAGCGUUAUUCGGAAUUAUUGGGCGUAAAGGGCGCGUAGGCGGCCUGGCAAGUGGAAGGUGAAUCCCUCGGCUUAACCGAGGAACUGCCUCCCAAACUGCUUGGCUUGAGACCGGGAGAGGUGAGUGGAAUUCCCAGUGUAGCGGUGAAAUGCGUAGAUAUUGGGAGGAACACCAGUGGCGAAGGCGGCUCACUGGACCGGUACUGACGCUGAGGCGCGAAAGCGUGGGGAGCAAACGGG
rnacentral:rRNA from 1 species